rnacentral:rRNA from 1 species
UACGGGAGGCAGCAGUGGGGAAUAUUGCACAAUGGGCGCAAGCCUGAUGCAGCCAUGCCGCGUGUAUGAAGAAGGCCUUCGGGUUGUAAAGUACUUUCAGUCGUGAGGAAGGUGUUAAGGUUAAUAACCUUAGCAAUUGACGUUAGCGACAGAAGAAGCACCGGCUAACUCCGUGCCAGCAGCCGCGGUAAUACGGAGGGUGCGAGCGUUAAUCGGAAUUACUGGGCGUAAAGGGCACGCAGGCGGUUAAUUAAGUUGGAUGUGAAAUCCCCGGGCUUAACCUGGGAAUGGCAUUCAAGACUGGUUAGCUAGAGUCUUGUAGAGGGGGUAGAAUUCCAUGUGUAGCGGUGAAAUGCGUAGAGAUGUGGAGGAAUACCGGUGGGCGAAGGCGGCCCCUGGACAAAGACUGACGCUCAUGUGCGAAAGCGUGGGGAGCGAAACAGGGAUUAGAUACC